AUCUCUGCAGUGCAAUGGAUAGCAUUGGACUUCUAAUCCAAAGGUCGUGGGUUUGAAUCCCACCUGGGAUG